CCCGCUGAACUUAAGCAUAUCAAUAAGCGGAGGAAAAGAAACUAACAAGGAUUCCCCUAGUAACUGCGAGUGAAGCGGGAAAAGCUCAAAUUUGAAAUCUGGCAGUCUUUUUUUUCUUCUUUGGCUGUCCGAGUUGUAAUCUAGAGAAGUGCUUACCUGCGCUGGACCAUGUAUAAGUCUCCUGGAAUGGAGCGUCACAGAGGGUGAGAAUCCCGUCUUUGACAUGGACUGCCAGUGUGUUGUGGUGUGCUCUCAAAGAGUCGAGUUGUUUGGGGAUGCAGCUCUAAACGGGUGGUAAACUCCAUCUAAAGCUAAAUAUUGGCGAGAGACCGAUAGUGAACAAGUACCGUGAGGGAAAGAUGAAAAGGACUUUGGAAAGAGAGUUAAACAGUAUGUGAAAUUGUUGAAAGGGAAACGCUUCAAGUCAGUUAUGUUGGCUAGGGAUCAACCCAGCAUUUUUGCUGGGUGAAUUUCCUGGUCUGACAGGCCAACAUCAGUCUUGACUGCUGGAAAAGAGCAGAGGGAAUGUGGCACCUUUGGGUGUGUUAUAGCCCUUCGUCAUAUGUGGCAGUCGGGACUGAGGGAUGCAGCAUGCCGUGAGGCUGGGUUUUUUUUUUACCACGUUUCAUGCUUAGGAUGUUGGCUUUUAAUGGCUUCAAUCGACCCGUCUUGAAACACGG
rnacentral:rRNA from 1 species